AAAUGUAACUGUUAGAAUACUUCCCAGUUGUGACAUGAGACAAUUAAUACUCUCCCAAAUAAUGUGAAGGGGAGGGACUUUUCCCAGGAGGUGUAUAGACAAGGAGGAGAAAGAAACAUUUUUAACAAUCACAGUUUCUCAUGGCACUCAUCCCUGAGAUUGACAUCUGUCCCAUUUUCUCUACUGUAGGGGUCAACUGUCCAUAUGCAGGGCAGGGAGUCCAUGUGCCUGCUCAGGAUGCAGUGGUCAGUGUAGCCAAAGAGGAAAACUGAGUUGCCAUGAAGAGAGCAAAAUCUUGAACCACACUCUCUACCACCAGAGACCAGGAUGCAUCUGUAUUGGGUGUGUUUGGAAGAGUAGUGGCAGGUCCUUUACAUGUCAGUUGUUUGAAAAAUGAUCUAAGUAUCUUUCCUUAUGCCCAAGAACACAAAUUCAGUCACAGUAGGUUAACUGAUGGAAAUGAGAUUUCUUGCAUAUGAAAAACAAAUCUGAUACUACUUUUAUACUCAAAAAUAAACAGUAUCUAUAUAGAGAAGAAUGAAAUUACAUAAGACAGCAAGUAAGAAGCUGAAUUCCUCAUGGGACUAUUUUUUUUAUCCUGAAGACUGGCAUAACAUCUCUGUUAUAUGGUGUUAAACAGUUAUAAAAUUCUUCUUUCAGUAGUUUGUGCAUUCCUUGGCCCCAGUAAAUAAUUCUUUUUCACUCUUUCUUAUUUUUCUUUAAGGGAAUUUAAUCAUUAUGAGUAGUUCCAGAUUUGUAGCACUGGAAAAGGAAGACUUCAGCUUUCUGGAAGGUCUUCUGACAUCACCAGCUAGAAUAAGAGUAAAAUAAAAGUAUGAAAGAAAUGGAAAGGCUUCUUUCACAACAUGCUUCUUGCAGAAAAACAACUUUUGUCAGCUUUCUGGAGUCAGUGAGCCUAUACUGCAGCAGGCCUGGGUCACAGCCAGAAAGUGAUUGUCUUCAGAGGAUUAUGGGUAAGGCCUUACUAAUUAACUGUAAUGGUAACCUGGUAAUGU
rnacentral:lncRNA from 1 species